rnacentral:rRNA from 1 species
UACGUAGGGGGCAAGCGUUGUCCGGAUUUAUUGGGCGUAAAGAGCGUGUAGGCGGUCAGGUAGGUCCGUUGUGAAAACUCGAGGCUCAACCUCGAGACGCCGAUGGAAACCAUCUGGCUAGAGUCCGGAAGAGGAGUGUGGAAUUCCCGGUGUAGCGGUGAAAUGCGCAGAGUAAUCGGGAAGAACGACCGGUGGCGAAGGCGGGUCUCUGGGCCGAUACUGACGCUGAGGAGCGAAAGCGUGGGGAGCGAACAGG